GGGGAUAUAGCUCAGUGACAGAGCACCUGCCUGGCAAGUAGAAGGUCGUGAGUUUGAUUCCCAGUACCACAA
rnacentral:tRNA from 1 species